GCGGGCGUGGCGGAACUGGUAGACGCAGUGGAUUUAGGUUCCACCGCUGAGAGGCAUGGGGGUUCGAGUCCCUCCGCCCGCACCA
rnacentral:tRNA from 1 species